rnacentral:rRNA from 1 species
UACGUAGGGUGCGAGCGUUGUCCGGAAUUAUUGGGCGUAAAGAGCUCGUAGGCGGUCUGUCGCGUCGAAUGUGAAAACCCGGGGCUCAACUCCGGGCUUGCAUUCGAUACGGGCAGACUAGAGUUCGGUAGGGGAGACUGGAAUUCCUGGUGUAGCGGUGAAAUGACGCAGAUAUCAGGAGGAACACCGGUGGCGAAGGCGGGUCUCUGGGCCGAUACUGACGCUGAGGAGCGAAAGCGUGGGGAGCAAACAGG